UAUCUCAGGCUCUAUCGCAAGGCCUUCUACAAUGUCAAAUGCCCAUUUCAGGACUGGAAAGGUGGGUCAGCAGGUAAAAGCACUUAUCCCCGGGACUCUGAUGAUGGAAGAAGAGAACCAACCCCUGCAAAUGGUCUUCUGACCGCACCAAAUAACUAGAUAUAAUAUAAACAACUCUCCAUUUCACUACACAAUGUGACCUGCCAGGGGGAGCUGGGGAGAACGACCCUCCGAUUAAAAGGGGCCACUGAAGUGGGACUGGCAUGUGGAUAGACUCCACUGGCUAUCUGGGAAAGAAUGAGUUUUUUUUUUUUUUUUAAAUUGUGUUUUUCUCAAGUUUUUCUGGUUUUAAUAUAUUACCUAUCAACCUUUUCUGUAACUUUGAAUUUUUGCAUAUUUUGUUUUUGUUAUGUGUGUGUCUGUGUGUGGGUAGGUGCGGGGAUCAGAGGGCAGCUUCGGGAGUUGGUUCUCUCUUCCUGCUAAGUGGGUGCUGGAGGUGGAAUUCUGGUGGCUGGGUUUGUCUCACAUGCUGAACUGUCUGUCUCCCUAGCCAGUCGGGAUGGUGGCAUACACCUUUAGUUCCAGCCCUGGGGAGCCAGAGGGAGGCGGAUUAGUGUGGUUUGGGGGCUGGCCUGGUCUGCAUAGUGAGCUGCAGGUUAAUCAGGGCUCUCUGGUGAGAUACUUCUCAAAACCAGAAAAGAAAAAAUUCAUUUUUAAAAAUGAAGAAAGUUGUUGCAUUAUUUAUCUUUGAGAGUCUCCUUUUGUGUUGGACUGAAAGUUGAGUCUCUUUGUCUUUAGACAAAGGACUGAGACCAUAUUAAAAUAAAAUACUCUUGAGUAUAAAGAAGGAAGACAGCCUUUUAUGCAUAGCUGCUUAAAAGGAGUGGGACCAGAAACCCCUUUGACUCCGUGUGUUUAUUUAAGACAUUCUGCUUGAAGAUCUGAGGCUCUGGGCUCUUGAUUCUUCUUGUUUUCCGCUAUUAGUGAAAACAGAACUGGUAACUACACACAAAAAUGAAUAUAAUUAUUAUUCCUCUUGCUAGUUACUGCUGUCAUUUUUUGAUUAUUUCUUUGUGUGAAUUUGUUUAAAAGAAAAAAAACACCUUUUAAAAUAACUAUUUAGGUUUAAAAAUCAAUAAACCUCACCACGGGGUGCUGGCACAUGCCUUUAAUACCCACACUCAGGAGGCAGAAGGAGGUGGAUCUCUUGAGUCAAGGCCAGGAGGCCAGGCUGGUCGACAAAGUGAGCUCCAGCACAGCCAGGGACAAUGCAGAAACCCUGCUUUGAAAAACAACCAAACCAAACC
rnacentral:lncRNA from 1 species